CCUACGGGAGGCAGCAGUGGGGAAUAUUGGACAAUGGGGGCAACCCUGAUCCAGCCAUGCCGCGUGUGUGAAGAAGGCCCUCGGGUUGUAAAGCACUUUCAGUGAGGAAGAACGCCUGGUGGUUAAUACCCAUCAGGAAAGACAUCACUCACAGAAGAAGCACCGGCUAACUCCGUGCCAGCAGCCGCGGUAAUACGGAGGGUGCGAGCGUUAAUCGGAAUUACUGGGCGUAAAGCGCGCGUAGGUGGCUUGAUAAGCCGGUUGUGAAAGCCCCGGGCUCAACCUGGGAACGGCAUCCGGAACUGUCAAGCUAGAGUGCAGGAGAGGAAGGUAGAAUUCCCGGUGUAGCGGUGAAAUGCGUAGAGAUCGGGAGGAAUACCAGUGGCGAAGGCGGCCUUCUGGACUGACACUGACACUGAGGUGCGAAAGCGCGGGUAGCAAACAGGAUUAGAUACCCGAGUAGUC
rnacentral:rRNA from 1 species